AUAUCCUUAAGUGUAGCACGCCUUAAUUCCUCGUACUGCAUGUCUUGUAGCUGACCUCCAAUGCUGUGGGAUUCAUCCCGUCGCUUGCCACCAAUUGUUAAGACACCUCUAGUGUCUUUAAGCCAAACCUCCGUUUAGUAGACCUUCCCCGGCUGCAGUACAGUCUCCGUUCGCUUACUCUGUAACACACGAACCAAAUGCAG